rnacentral:tRNA from 1 species
AGUAAUGUGCCUGAGAAAAGGGUUGUCUUGAUGGGACUUUUAUAGCAAUAUUGUUGCUCUUUACUG